UACGUAGGUGGCAAGCGUUAUCCGGAAUUAUUGGGCGUAAAGCGCGCGCAGGCGGCGAUCUACGUCUGGGGUGAAAGCCCGGAGCUCAACUCCGGGACUGCCUUGGAUACGGGAUCGCUUGAGGAUUGGAGAGGCAAGGGGAAUUCCACGUGUAGCGGUGAAAUGCGUAGAUAUGUGGAGGAACACCUGCGGCGAAGGCGGGUUGCUGGGCUGACACUGACGCUGAGGCGCGAAAGCCAGGGGAGCGAACGGG
rnacentral:rRNA from 1 species